GUUCAAUGUAUAGAUGUGUUUUUCAGCUACAGUUAUAGAGGUCCACUGAAGACAAGUGAAAGGGAAAAGAAAGGAGAAGUGAACCCAACUCCUGAACUGGUCAGGUUUUUUCCUGUGAUUGGAAACCCUGAUGGAGAGCUAGGAAAAAGAAGAACUAGGAUCUGCUGAACUGAACUGAUCUACCAGCAUAGACAAACUGAGGACGCUGACCUCUGUGGUUCAGCCGCUGCCUCGUCUCCAUCCACAUUAGUGGCGGGCUGCCGGGGGCAGAGGUGCAUUGUGGGAGGUUGGUGUUUCCCAGAAGCCCCAGUUUGGGUCAGAGGACGCAGAACCUGGACGUCAGUGGAUAAUUACAGCAGCUCUGAUGCUCAAAACAGACGCAGGAGAAGAAAAAAAAAACAGCUGCAGGGAAACGACCACCGAUGCCCGGGUUUGAUCCGCCCACAGGGGGCGGAGCCUCCACCAGGGAGGGCGGUGAUGUCACGGUGAAGCGGACUGAGGACGACGUCUACGGAAACAGACGAUAGAAUGAAAUGAAACACCAGAGGACAUUUAUGUACAGACGGAAAAGUGGAAACAGAUGAUUGAUGAAAAACCUGAAACAUCCACUGAAUUAAAACGACAAACAUCAGAGAAACCGACGCCGACCACAGCGCGUCAUCUGACCAAUGACGGAGUGAUGUCACAAGGACUGUCAUAGUUUUUUUUUUUUUA